GGGCGGGCACCACAGUGCCUGGUGCAGCCUCUCCUCUGUGCCAGGCAUUCUUCCGGGGGUGUGUGCAAGUGGACACAUAUUCCCGGCCCAAACAGGAUCCCGGGGCCUGGAUCGUUUGCCCAAAACAGUGGUUGCCACAGGAACGAGAAAGCUGGGGGGCCCGGUCUGGCCUUGGGCAGGUGUCUGGACCUUUCUGCCAAUCCCUCCUCAUUCAGGGAGGAAGCUGGAGGUCUGUGGAGGAUUUUGGGGUACAAUUUGAAAUGCAAUGAAGGCAGGGCUGCAGCUGGGAAGCUGCUCAGCCUGCAGGCAGCCCCCAGCCUGUCUGUCCCAGCCUCGCCAGGCCUGUCUCACGGCAGGGCUGCAGCCAAACCUUUAUUGGUUAAAUAGCACAUGUGGCCAAGUUUACUGGAGAAAAACAACAGCCAGGAAUGAAGACGGCUUUUCGGGCUGUUUUCCACUUUUCCUCCAAGCAGCUGAAGGUGCUCCUAGGGGCUGGAGCAUCGCGGACGCUGCGACCAGGCCCUGACCGGAGAUGAGGAGACCGAGGCUCAGAGAAGCAAGUCACCUACCCCGGCUCAGAGCGCACAGCUGGAGCGAGCGUCAUGAAGCAGUGUUCUCCACGGUCCCCACCCAGCCCCACGUGGGCCUGUGUGAGGAAUGUCGUCCUCAGGCCCCAGACCUCCCGGAUCCGACCUGCAGGGAUCCCGAGGCCUCGCCCGCACAAGGCGCCUGAGCCCCGCCUUCUUGGCCACGGCCAGGCCUCAGUUCCUCCCUCUGCCUGAUCAGGCAAGAUGACAGCGGACGGGAGCUUCUGGGCUCUUUCUGCGGCAGGUUCGCGCUGGGCACACACGACUGCGGCUGCUGUGGGGGUAGCUUGUUGCCUCCAUUUUACAGAUGAGGGAACUGAGGCCGAGGACUCUGCUCCAGGCGACAUUCCCUGGCCUCCGUCCGUCCAUCUGGCCCCUGCCCUCUGUUCCCACCUGAACCCCCGGUCCCCGUUCCUCCUCGGCAGGUGGAUGCCUGUCCCCACAGGUCACUCUCUCUGCACAAACUUCCUUCCUGCCUCUAACCAGCCCUUAAGGACAAGAGCCCCGGCCUCACGGGUCAGGAAUGUGACGACUUUCUCCAGCAGCUGCUUCCCAGCCUCAGCCGCAGUCUGG
rnacentral:lncRNA from 1 species